rnacentral:misc_RNA from 1 species
AAAAAUAUUUGGUCUCGUGCCAAAUCAACACUUGUGUGCACCAUUGUCUGUCCUUGGUAGCUCGAGCUGCUCCACGAGGUCUCAACAACCACGUGGCGCCUACCCUGCGGUGGGAUGCAAAUCCGGCCGCCUUGUGGUUGGCUACCGCCUUUGUGAAAAACCUUUUUGUUUGUUGUUUUCUGUCUGAACGAAGAUUUAAUCUGGAAGAUUAAUGAUUUGAAUA